rnacentral:lncRNA from 1 species
UAGACGUCACUGUUAUAAGCUGCACCGAUUAGUAUAUAUAGGGAUCGGCAUGGACCUUUUUUUUUCAUCAAACAGACAACACAAAAUUUCUCAACCAACAAACAAGUUUUAGCUCUGCCAGCUAGAUUAACAAACCAAGCCUUCCCAACCGAGCUAAUCACAAAUCCUAAUGGCCGGAAACGUCAAGUCUUUCUGCUUUGUCCUUGUUCUUCUUCUAACUUCAUCGCUUUUCACUUCUGGGACUCGUCCUCUCACCGAUGUUGCAGAGUCAGGCAGCUCUAUAGCCAAAGGGAUCAAGGCUUUCUUGGAUGGUUCGAGCCUUCAAGGAAUCAAGAGCGGAAGUCCAAGUCAAGGAGGAGAAGGUCAUGCAUUUAGUAAUGCUGUCACGAACUCGGGUCCAAGUCCUGGAGGAAAAGGUCAUGCAUUUACUAAUGCUUUCAUGAACUCAGGUCCAAGCUCCGGCGGUGGUGGACAUUAAGCUAGCGGCAGAUGCAAAGCCUGCAACAGCGCUCUCUGAUGUGUCUUAGGCGUCUCUAUUUGUCUAAUUCAUUUUUUAUUUUGUUCAUUUUGGAUUUUGGUCAUUCUAUUGUAAUGUUUCAAUAAGUUUAGGCGUGGUUUCUGGCAAUUAAUAGUCUAGUCCAUAGCGAGUUUGCAUUCUGCCAUAUCUAGUUUUUGUGAUUCUGAGUCAUGUAUGACAGUUUUGUUUUGAUCUGAUAGCUAUUCUUCCUUCAAAUAUUAUUAAGUUCAUGGUAUAAACAUUUUCUUUGUUACUUGUUCAACUCUGUUUUCUCGCAUUUUGAGAGAGAAACAGAGACAUUUUGCAGUGUAUCAUAUCUUUCAAAAAAAUUAGACUUAAUUUUAUUUGAUUAAAUGAAAAAAUAAUUCUUUAAAAAAUAAUAUUACUACUACUUUAAAUGUAAAAAAGAAAAGAAAAAACUAAAAUAUUAGCAGUAGCAUAGCAUUUAACAAUUACACGUGGAUGGCCGGUUGGGGUUUUUUGGUUUAAUGAUUAAAGCCCAAUGGGCUUUACAGUAAAAAGAAGCCCACAUUUGGGCCUAAAAGCCCAGAGUUCACAGUCAAAAGAAACCCUAGAAAAUUCCCCAAUUG